rnacentral:rRNA from 1 species
CGUCCCUUUUGGUUCAGAACAACUGAGGGAAACUUGAGCAAAUACCGGAUAAKCCCUUACGGGGAAAGAUUUAUCGCCGAAAGAUCGGCCCGCGUCUGAUUAGCUAKUUGGUGAGGUAAUGGCUCACCAAGGAGACUAUCAAUAUSUGGUCUGAGARGAUGAUCACCCACUUUGGGACUGACACACGGCCCACACUCCUACGGGAGGCAGCAGUGGGGAAUAUUGGACAGUGGGCGCAAGCCUGAUCCAGCCGUGCCGCGUGAGUGAUGARGGCCCUAGGGUUGUAAAGCUCUUUUGUGCGGAAAGAUAAUGASKGUACCGCAAGAAUAACCCCCGGCUAACUUCGUGCCAGCACCCGCGGUAAUACAAAGGGGGCUAGCGUUGCUCAGAAUCWCUGGGCGUAAGGGGUGCGUACGCGGGUCUUUAAGUCAGGGGUGAAAUCCUGGAUCUCACCUCCAGAACUGCCUUUGAUACUGAAGAUCUUGAGUUCGGGAGAGGWGAGUGGAACUGCGAGUGUAGAGGUGAAAUUCAUAUAUAUUCACAAGAACACCAGUGGCRAGGGCGGCUCASUGGCCCRAUACUGACUCUGAGGCACAAAAGCGUGGGGAGCAAACGAGAUUAUAUACCCUGGUASUCCACCCCRUA